GAGGGACCGGAGUCAGGAUCUGGGGACAAGAGGGUGAGAUGUGGCAGAAGACGGAUCGAUGCACAGGAUGGUUCAGCUGGAGAUGACUUAGAGCUGGAGGGAGGCAACAAGUUUCAGGCAGGCAGGAAAUGGCUUUGUGUUGCAGAAGCACUCUUUAAUUGCAAGCAGAUCAGCACAGGAGUGUGCUGCAGAGAAGGGAGGGUAUGCAGUACAAGACUUUGACUAGGACUCAGAGCUCAGAGCUCAGCAUCAACAGAACUUUUCCCCAA